GAUGAAGAACGCAGCGAAAUGCGAUAAGUAAUGUGAAUUGCAGAAUUCAGUGAAUCAUCGAGUCUUUGAACGCACAUUGCGCCCCCUGGUAUUCCGGGGGGCAUGCCUGUCCGAGCGUCAUUGCUGCCCUCAAGCACGGCUUGUGUGUUGGGCCUCCGUCCUCCUCCCGGGGGACGGGCCCGAAAGGCAGCGGCGGCACCGCGUCCGGUCCUCGAGCGUAUGGGGCUUCGUCACCCGCUCUUGUAGGCCCGGCCGGCGCUUGCCGACACAUCAAUCUUUUUUCCAGGUUGACCUCGGAUCAGGUAGGGAUACCCGCUGAACUUAAGCAUAUCAAUAAAGCGGAGGA
rnacentral:misc_RNA from 1 species